CCUUUUUAAAAAAAAAAAAAAAAAAAAAAAAUAUACCAAAUAAGACACAAGAAAAAAAAAAAAAAAAAAAAAAAAAAAAAAAAAAAAAAAAAAAAAAAAAAUAUAUUUAAAAAAAAAAAAAAAAAAAAAAAAAAAAAGAAAC